rnacentral:pre_miRNA from 1 species
AGUGGGAUAACUGGGUCAAAUGGUGGUUUCAGAUUUUCUGAGGAAUCUCCAUACUGCUUUCCAGAGUGGUUGCAGCAAUUUGCAGUCCCACCAGGAAU